CACCGCGGUUAUACGAGAGGCCCAAGUUGACAGCCCCCGGCGUAAAGCGUGGUUAAGACAAACUUAAAACUAAAGCCGAAUAUCUUCAGAGCAGUUAUACGCAUCCGAAGACACGAAGCCCCACCACGAAAGUGGCUUUAUGACACCUGAUCCCACGAAAGCUAGGGCACAAACUGGGAUUAGAUACCCCACUAUGCCUAGCCGUAAACAUUGAUAGAACUAUACACCCUCUAUCCGCCUGGGUACUACGAGCAUUAGCUUAAAACCCAAAGGACUUGGCGGUACUUUAGAUCCCCCUAGAGGAGCCUGUCCUAUAACCGAUAACCCCCGUUCAACCUCACCCUCCCUUGUUUUUCCCGCCUAUAUACCGCCGUCGUAAGCUUACCCUGUGAAGGCCUAAUAGUAAGCAAAAUUGGCACCGCCCAGAACGUCAGGUCGAGGUGUAGCAUAUGAGAGGGGAAGAGAUGGGCUACAUUCGCUAAAUAUAGCGAACACGAAUGAUAGUACUGAAAACGUACAUCUGAAGGAGGAUUUAGCAGUAAGUGGAAAAUAGAGUGUUCCACUGAAGCCGGCUCUGAAGUGCGUACACACCGCCCGUCACUCUCCCCGAGCCCAUAAUAUAUAAAUAUACAUAAAAUGCUUUAAUUGCUAAGGGGAGGCAAGUCGUAA
rnacentral:rRNA from 1 species